rnacentral:misc_RNA from 1 species
AACGCACGAGACCUGCGGACCUGCGGAAGGAUCAUUACUGAGAAAUUGCCCUUCGGGGUAGAUCUCCCACCCUAUGUUUACAUUACUUUUGUUGCUUUGGCAGGCCCGUCUUUGACCACUGGCUUCGGCUGGUCAGUGUCUGCCAGAGGACCCCUAAACUCUUGAUAUUUUGUUGUCUGAGUUAAAUAUAUAAUAGUUAAAACUUUUAACAACGGAUCUCU